GAAGCUGACCAGACAGUCGCCGCUUCGUCGUCGUCCUUUCGGGGAGACGGGCGGAGGGGAGGAAAGUCCGGGCUCCAUAGGGCAGGGUGCCAGGUAACGCCUGGGGGGGAAACCCACGACCAGUGCAACAGAGAGCAAACCGCCGAUGGCCCAAGCAAGUGGGAUCAGGUAAGGGUGAAAGGGUGCGGUAAGAGCGCACCGCGCGGCUGGUAACAGUCCGUGGCACGGUAAACUCCACUCGGAGCAAGGCCAAAUAGGGGUUCAUAAGGUACGGCCCGUACUGAACCCGGGUAGGCUGCUUGAGCCAGUGAGCGAUUGCUGGCCUAGAUGAAUGACUGUCCACGACAGAACCCGGCUUAUCGGUCAGUUUCACCU
rnacentral:RNase_P_RNA from 3 species